GGUGUCUGGGGGACUCUUUUCCAUGCCGGCAGACCGCGAUCGUAUCCUCGAUCGUGGGCCGCACGGCACUUUUGCGCGCGAACGGCGGCCAUCUUGAAUCUCGCGGCACUCGCGAGAUUCACGUCGGCCAUGUCGUUUGGCCAGUUCGUGAUUCCCACGAACUGGCGGCUAGUUCUGUACUGUUUCAUAUAUUUUCCUGUGAAAUAAAAGUUUUACAAGUACUUUUGAGCUCAAUAUUGUUCAUGGGCAUGUGGAAUAAAGGAUUUAUAUGUACCUUUCCUGGAAGAUUAUGAAUGGACUGUUCACUGCUGAGCUCUAUACUGGCAUAUUUCAU